GGGUCUCACGGCAAGGCAGCCCCAUUGUGGUUGCCCGGCGACUGCGGAGCGCUUGGAACCACGCUGCGCCGCGUCCCCAGGACCCAGCAGAGUGCUCCAGCUCCCGCGGAGGAGGCUGCGGGCGGCGCCCCGGGAUAGGGACCCUGCAGCUCCAGGUAGACGCAGGGAGCGCGGGACUCGCCCCCUGGCAGGGUGAGGUAGAGCCGGACCGUUUGCUCUCUGCUGCUCCCCGGGACUCCAGCCGCGCCCGUGAGAAGAGGCAGCACGGCAGCAAAGGCCAAGGAGCGGAGGGAGUUGAACUUGUCAAAUUAAUGUCUACAGUGAUAUGUAUGAAACAAAGGGAAGAAGAAUUCUUGCUAACCAUCAGACCUUUUGCAAACAGGAUGCAGGUAACCCCACACCAUUAGGAUUGAGGCACAUGUGCUCACUUUAAAGCUGCUGGUAUUGUUCCUAAGAAGUUGCACAAGCCUGGGCUUUUAACUGAAGACAAACUUUUCACUGACAUAUAAAAAACUACAAAUGCUCUGGUAAUGUAAGCUGGAUCACAGUGAAAUCUCUAUAAUUUGAAUUAUGAGUUGAAUUCAAAUUGAAGUAUGAAAUCUAUGGCCAUUGUACUUUGUUAUUUCACUAAGAGUGCUAUAUGAGUAGCCAGAUUUACAACUGACAUCAGGUUUGUUUUGUAUCCAGGCUUAUGCACAACUUUUGUAAGCAGCAAUAGCAGUUUUGUGGGCACUUGAAAUGGGAGAGAAUUCUAAAGUCGCUGCCUCCUGUUAAACACCAAGAAUGGGGAGGAUUGCCUCUUAGUCCAGAGUAAAAGAUAUCUGAAUUAAAAACAAUGAGAAUUUUAACUUUAAAAGUCUGAUUCUGGAAACAACUACAGGCUACAACUUGUACCAGAGGAAGGGAAGAGUUACCAGCAG
rnacentral:lncRNA from 1 species